GACUCAGGGCUGCGGCCGGGGUCCUGCGGGGUAGGAGCGCGAGGCCGGCCUGAGGGAGGAGGCCUAGCGACCCAUCCGGCGCCUCCCGCCCCGGGCACCCGCCCGCGGCCGCGCAUCCUGCGGGCCCCAGGAGGCCUCCAUCUCAAAACAACGUGUUUUUAGAGAACUCAAGGGCUGUGAAAAGAGCAGGACCUCACCAGCUGCACGGCGGUGGUGACUGGCUCCAUCUUGCUGUCCCUCCCAAUCACACAACAUCUCCCCUUGAAGGCUCUGCCCAGGCCCGGACUCCCACCUUUCAAGAUGUCUGGAUCAGUGCAGGACCUCCUCCUUGGCCACAUCGCUCUCCUUGGACUGGUUCAAGUGAUUCUCCCACCUCAGCCUCCCAAGUAGGAUUACAGUGUUGACUCACCUGUGGAGUGGUCUGAGCCUGAAUGCCCGGGGCUGUGGCCACCGAGUGAACGGGCUGUGCUAAGGGGAAUUGCCACCUUGGGAAACCUGUGUAGUUGCGGCUUUUCUGAUUAAGUAUCAAUAAAAGUCUGACCUUGUGAAAAAAGCAAACGUGAGUGGCCCUGCUUAUGUUUCACCUUGCGUUGCUCAGUGAUAGUUCUGCAAAGUCGCAGGAAACCUGGAAUCAUCUAAUUAUCGUGAGUGUUGGUUCCUUAUUUAAUAAUGUCUAGUUGAUUCAUUAACAUGGAAUUCAUGGCCAGUACCUCUGUCACUCAUGCCUGACUGAAGUUGAUCAGCACGUCUUUUUCUCCCUUAGGCACAUGACAGCCUUCUUGCAAUCAAGAAACUACGUGUGGCCAGGUACGGUGGCUCACGCAUGUAAUUCCAGCACUUGGGGAGGCCAAGGCGGGUGGAUCACCUGAGGUCAGGAGUUUGAGACCAGCCUGACCAGUAUGGUGAAACUCCUUCUCUAGUAAAAAUACAGACAUUAGCCGGGCAUGGUGGUGCACACCUGUAAUCCCAGCUACUCGGGAGGCUGCGGCAGGAGAAUCUCGGGGGUGGAGGUUGCAGUGAGCUGAGAUCGCCCCACUGCACUCCAGCUUGGGCAACAGUGAGACUCCAUCUCAAAACAAAACAAAACAAAAAAAUUGGCCAGGUGUGGUGGGGGGCGCGGCGCACCUGUAAUUCCAGCUGCUCAGGAUGUUAAGGCAGAAGAAUCGCUUGAACCUGGGAGGUGGAAGUUGCAGUGAGCCUAGAUUGUGCCACUACACUCCAGCCUGGUUGACAGAGUGAAGCUCUGUCUCAAAAAAAGAAAAGAAACAAUACUAAGUUCUGAUUCUCAGACCCCAUUCAGUUUUUUUUUGUUGUUGAGACGGAGUCUCGCUCAGUCGCCCAGGCUGGAGUACAGUGGUGCGAUCUUGGCUCACUGCAACUUCUGCCUCCUGGGUUCAAGCGAUGCUCCUGCCUCAGCCUCCUGCAGAUUUUACAGACAGUAUCAACAAUGUCUCUUUUCCUUUCCGCUCCAGGAUCUCAUCCACUAUCACAGUUUCAGCUUUCCCCAAACUGGAAUGUGUCUUUGCAGACGCCCAUCCUUAUUAAAGGGCAAAGACUUCUCAUACACCUAGGAUGGAUCUUAUAUUCUUGGCGGGACUGCAGAGAAGGUGCCGUGUCCUGAGUCCUCAUGUCAGGGCACAGGCUUCCAGCCAGUUCUACCUGGGUUAUGUUUAUCUCAAUUCCCUGGUGGUAUUGGUGUCUGCUGGGUUUUGCCAGAAUGAAGACACCGUGUUUUCAUUUGUCAGUUGAUUCGUAUUUUCCAGGAAGACAUUCUGAGAUUACAGCAUUGUCUUAGUCAAGGUGCUGCAGAAGGACAGAACUAAUAGGAUAUAUGUACAUAUGAAAGAAAGUUUAUGAAGAACUGGCUCACACCAUCACAAGGCAAAGUCCCAUGACAGGCCAUCUGCAAGCUGAGGAGCGAGGAAGCCAGCAGUGGCUCAGCCGGAGUCCAACAGCCUCAAACGGAAUCCAACAGUUCAGGCUUCAGUCUGUGGCCAAAUGCCCAGAGACCCCGGAAAGCUACUGGUGUUAGUCCCAGAGCCGGAAGGCCAAAGAACCUGGAGUGUGAUGUCCAAGGGCAGGAGGAAUGGACAGAAGCAUCCAGCAUGGGGUAAAGACGAAAGCCAGAAGACUCAGCAAGCUAGCUUACCUACUUUCUUCUGCCUGCCUUGUUCUAGCCGCGCUGGCAGCCGGUUGGAGGGUGCCCACCCCCACUGAGGGUGGAUCUUCCUCUCCUAGUCCACUGACUCAAAUUUCAGUCUCUCUGGGAGCACCAUCACACCAGAAACAAUACCAGCCAUCUAGCCACCCUUCAGUUCACCAUCACAACCAUUGUCUUAUUCAUGAAACUUCUGCAGACCCACCUUAACCUCCAUCGGUGACUUCUACCUGAAGCCCUCUGAUUGUUGCCCAGUGGUGCUUUUUAAAAUAAUUUCCAUAGUUUCUUC
rnacentral:lncRNA from 1 species